rnacentral:rRNA from 1 species
GAUGAACGCUAGCGGCAGGCCUAAUACAUGCAAGUCGAGGGGUAGAAGAGGCUUGCUUCUUUGAGACCGGCGCACGGGUGCGUAACGCGUAUGCAACCUACCUUCAUCUGGGGGAUAGCCCGGAGAAAUCCGGAUUAAUACCCACUAAAAUCACAGGAUGGCAUUAUCCAAUGAUCAAUAAUUUAUGGGAUGGAGAUGGGCAUGCGUGUCAUUAGCUAGUUGGCGGGGUAACGGCCCACCAAGGCGACGAUGACUAGGGGAUCUGAGAGGAUGGCCCCCCACACUGGUACUGAGACACGGAACAGACUCCUACGGGAGGCAGCAGUAAGGAAUAUUGGGCAAUGGAGGCAACUCUGAACCAGCCAUGCCGCGUGCAGGAAGACUGCCCUAUGGGUUGUAAACUGCUUUUAUUCGGGAAUAAACCUUAUUACGUGUAAUAAGCUGAAUGUACCGAAGGAAUAAGGAUCGGCUAACUCCGUGCCAGCCGCCGCGGUAAAAC